rnacentral:sRNA from 16 species
GAGAGAGUAAUGUAAGAAAGCACUUGGGGUCGAAACACGGCAAGACUCCCAGGUGUUUUCUAUU